rnacentral:rRNA from 1 species
AUGAACCUGAGAGUUUGAUCCUGGCUCAGAGCGAACGCUGGCGGAAUGCUUAACACAUGCAAGUCGCACGGGGGCUUCGGCUCUAGUGGCGGACGGGUGAGUAACGCGUAGGAACGUGUCCUGGGAUGGGGGAUAACGCUGGGAAACUGGCGCUAAUACCGCAUGUCUGCUGAGGCAGAAAGCCUUUGGGUGUCUUGGGAGCGGCCUGCGUCCGAUUAGCUAGUUGGUGGGGUAAAGGCUUACCAAGGCGACGAUCGGUAGCUGGUCUGAGAGGACGAUCAGCCACACUGGGACUGAGACACGGCCCAG